UAAAAUGCAGAUUUCUGAGUCUAUCCUCAGGAAGUCUGAUUUUUUUUUUAAGUCAAAGAUGGGGCCCAGGAAUCUGCAUUUUUCA
rnacentral:miRNA from 1 species